rnacentral:rRNA from 1 species
UCUGGCCUCUCAGCUUCGGAUGAUCCCAUAUGAGAUUAGCUAGUAGGUGGGGUAAGGGCUCACCUAAGCGACGAUCUCUAGCUGGUCUUAGAGGAUGAUAAGCCACACUGGGACUGAGACAGGGCCCAGACUCCUACGGGAGGCAGCAGUGGGGAAUAUUGCAAAAUGGGCGCAAGCCUAAUGCAGCCAUGCCGCGUGUAUGAAGGAGGAAGGUGUUAAAGUUAAUAACCUUAGCAAUUGACGUUAGCGACAAAAAAAGCACCGGCUAACUCCGUGCCAGCAGCAGCGGUAAUACGGAGGGUGCAAACGUUAAUCGGAAUUACUGGGCGUAAAGGGCACGCAGGCGGUUAAUUAAGUUGAAUGUAAAAUCCCCGGGCUUAACCUGGAAAUGGCAUUCAAGACUGGUUAGCUAGAGUCUUGUAGAGGGGUAGAAUUGCAUGUGUAGCAGUGAGAUGUGGAGAAAUACUGGUGGCAAAGGCUGCCCCUUUGACAAAGACUGACGCUCAUGUGCGAAAGCGUGGGGAGCAAACAAAAUUAGAUACCCUGGUAGUCAACGCUGUAAACGAUGUCGAUUUGGAGGUUGUGGUCAUAAACUGUGGCCUCCGGAGCUAACGCGUUAAAUCGACCGCCUGGAGAGUACGGCCGCAAAGUUAAAACUCAAAUGAAUUGACGGGAGCCCGCACAAGCGGUGAAGCAUGUGGUUUAUUUCGAUAUUGAUGCAACGCGAAGAACCUUACCUACUCUUGACAUCCAGCGAAUCCUUUAGAGAUAAAGGAGUGCUUUCGGGAACGCUGAAAAGGUGCUGCAUGGCUGUCAUCAGAUUGUGUGUGAAAUAAUUGGGUUAAGUACCGCAACGAGCGAAACCCUUAUCCUUUGUUGCCAAGGUGGGGAUGACGUCAAGUUAUCAUGGCCCUUACGAGUAGUGCUACCCGCAUGCUACAAUGGCGUAUACAGAGAGAGGCAAGCCAGCGAUGGAAAGCAAAACUCAAAAAGUACGUCGAAGUCCGGAUUGGAGUCUGCAACUCGACUCCAUGAAGUCGGAAGAGCUAGUAAUCGCGGAUCAGCAUGUCGCGGUGAAUACGUUCAGGGGCCUUGUACACAACGCCCGUAACACCAUAGGAGUAGAUUGCAAAAGAAGUAGGUAGCUUAACCUUUAUAAGAUGGCGCUUACCACUUUGUGAUUCAUGACUGCGGUGAUCUUGCUGAAAAA